GCUUUCAUAGCUCAGUUGGUUAGAGCACCCGUUUAGUAAGCGGGAGGUCUUGAGUUUCACUCUCCAUGAAAGCA
rnacentral:tRNA from 1 species